UACAGAGGUCUCAAGCGUUGUUCGGAUUCAUUGGGCGUAAAGGGUGCGUAGGCGGCGCGGUAAGUCGGGUGUGAAAUCUCGGAGCUUAACUCCGAAACUGCAUUCGAUACUGCCGUGCUUGAGGACUGGAGAGGAGACUGGAAUUUACGGUGUAGCAGUGAAAUGCGUAGAGAUCGUAAGGAAGGCCAGUGGCGAAGGCGAGUCUCUGGACAGUAACUGACGCUGAGGCACGAAGGCCAGGGGAGCAAACGGG
rnacentral:rRNA from 1 species